AUGGAAUAUUCUCGCUGUCCUGAUUGUGCGGUAGCCAGGGCAGGCUGAACAUUCACUAUAAGACCAUGCAUGUGUCUCAGGCCAAGUUCUUUCCCUGAGCCUGGUUUUAUCAAUGCUGGUGAUAAGU
rnacentral:snoRNA from 1 species